rnacentral:rRNA from 1 species
GACGAACGCUGGCGGCGUGCUUAACACAUGCAAGUCGAACGGUAAGGCCCUGCUUUUGUGGGGUGCUCGAGUGGCGAACGCGUGUGUAACACGUGUGUAACCUGUCCUUGACUUUGGGAUAACUUAAGGAAACUGGGGUUAAUAUCGGACAGGAGCACUUGAUGCAUGGUGGGGGUUGGAAAGUUUCGUCGGUUGGGGAUGGACACGCGGCCUAUCAGUGUGUUGGUGGGGUAGUGGCUUACAAACGCUACGACGGGUAGCCGGCCUGAGAGGGUGACCGGCCACAUUGGGACUGAGAUACGGGCAGGAGUGCUACGGGAGGCAGCAGUGGAGAAUAGUGCGCGAUGGGCGGAAGCCGUAUGCAGCAACGCCGCGUGGGGGAUGACGGCCUGCGGGUUGUAAAGCGCUUGCGCCUGUGACGAAGCGUGAGUGACGGUAAUGGGUAAAGAAGCACCGGCUAACUACGUG